CAGCCGCCUGGAGUAAAAAAAAAACAAAACAUUUUGGCGGUUAAAUAAGUUAGGAUCCUCUGGCUGCGGUCAGUCUGCGUUUUCAUUCAGCUGAAGAAGACAGCUAUGAGAAAGGAAGGAGAAAGGUUCGAGAGGCUGAGGUUCGAUCUGACCUUUAGUCAAAUGCAGAAGAGCCAGGCUGAAAAAAUGGCAGGUGCAAAAUGCCAAGCAUUCGACUUUUGAGCUCCUCUUUGAUGGACUUUGAGGAAGAUGAUGCUUUACAGCAGGAUUCCACAGGUCUUCCUGCUCCUCCACCAGUCUAUCAGCUUGACUGACCCACAGAGGGGACUUCAAUAUCCUUUACAGAAAUGCUGACCAGUAACCAUGCCAUCUGGCAGCCUGAGGGUUUCACAUGUGAACAUGCUGUCCGAAAGAACCCGUUAACAUCAAGGGCACCAAGUGCUGAAAUUGAGACAGUGAUGAAAAGGCGGCUGCAUCUGGCUACAGACCAUGGAGGAGGACGGAAGAGGCGCGACAAACAGUAGCUUGCCCUUGAUAUACAUUGAUAUGAAUUCUGCUCGUUUACAUUACAUUCUAACUGAUAAUCUGUGGUACAUGUUAAAUUCAUGUUUUUGUUUUGUUCAUUUGUCAUUGUCUCUGCGUUGUUAAGUUAAUGUUUAAUGUAAUUUUUUUUAAUUUGAUGGGCUGUGAAAUAUUUUUAUAC